GCUGAGUUAUGAAAGAGUCUUUACUAAAAUAAAUAUCUUCUCAAGACCUAUUUUUAUCAGUUGUGAUAAUUUGUCAGCAGCAUGGGAAACAUAUACUGCUUAACAGUCCUUUUUUAAGAUAUAAUUAAUGAAUUGGUAAUAAUUCCGCUAGUUGUUUUCAGUAGGGCACCAAGAACGACGAAGUACACUGUAGCACUAUAAAACUGUCAUUCUUAGAAAGAACUUUCUAAUUCCUUUUUUUUUUAAUUUCCCUUUUUCCCAUUUUUCAUUGAAUCUUUUAUCAUUGUCAAAAAUGCCCAUUAAAGCAAGCAGGUUCUUAAACAGAGUAUUUGAUGAGGAAUCAGGUAGAAAAUCAAUUUUUGGUAAACUUUAAUUAUGAAUAAUGAAACACUACCCUCUCAAGAUUUAACUGAUUUUAAUUGUUCAAAGCUUGAAAUACUAAUUUCUGUUUUUCCCACCAAAGGUGGUAAGACUGAGAACUAAUUCUCUUUUCAAAAUCAAGAACUAAAGAGCCCUUUUUGCUCUCAGAUUGACACAAUGAGUGUUAUUCAGGCUGUAUUUGAUAAAAUAUAUGAUAUUUGCACAUUACUUGGUGAAGAGUCAAUGGUAAAUCUGAGUUAACUUAGUCCAGAGAGCAGACAAAGUCAUUACUUAUGCGUGCAGUGUUUUGAUGUAAGUUUCACCAAUGCUUUCUCUUUAUAUGUUGAAAAAGGUGGCUCAGAAACAACUGAAGUCCCCAGUGACUGGAAAAGGGGAAACAUUACUCCUAUUUUUAAGAGAGGGAGAAAGGAAGACCCGGGAAACUACAGGCCAGUGAGCCUCACCUCUGUGCCUGGGAAGAUCAUCAAGGAGAUCCUCCUAGAAGCUAUGUUAAGGCACAUACAAGUCAAAGAGGUGAUUCGAGACAGCCAGCAUGGCUUCACCAAGGGCAGAUCUUGCCUGACAAAUCUGGUGGCCUUGUAUGAUAGAGUGACUGCUUCAGUGGAAAGGGGAAGGGUGAUGGAUGUCAUCUACCUCGACUUCUGCAAAGCCUUUGACAUGGUCCCUCACCACAUCCUUCUCUCUAAAUUGGAGAGUUCUAUUUUUCUUCACUGAGCUCAGAAGAAUGUUAAGAUCACUCAAAGAAGACUACAAAAACAAGAGGCCUCUUUUCCAAGCUAUAUCCCUGGCUUAUAUUUCCUUCUAUUUCUGCAUAGAAAAACUUGCUGCACCAAGAGAAAAUAC
ensembl:lncRNA